rnacentral:lncRNA from 1 species
CAGGGGAUGAGGAGUGAAGGAGAAAGAAACUUACUACUAUCUGAAUACCUACUGUGUGCCAGGCUGUGCUAGGUCCUCUGGCUCUAGAAACAGCAAGAGUCUCCGCACCCCACUUGGAACCAUAUGCGAAGGAUGUGAUGACAGUAGCAUUUUUAGCCAUCUCGAUCACAGCUCCAAAUGGAGCUCUACUUAUGGGCAUUCUGGGGCCUAAAAUGCUUACACACCAUUAUGAUCCAAGCAAAAUAAAACUGCAAUUGUCAACAUUAGAACAUCAUUAAAAAGUUUAC